ensembl:lncRNA
UUGUUGCAGGAUGCAUGUGGCCGAGUUUGGAUGGCCAAUGAAGAGCAAGGGGCAAAGGAAACAAAAAAUGAGUGAGAUGAGCAAGAUGUAGGUGAGAGUGCUGUUAUUGGCCUUAACAAUGGGAGUAUGGCGGUGCUUCAGAAAGAUGCCAAGAACCAGAGCUGUGAAUGCAGAGAAGACCAAGGCCAUUAAAGAAAGUGACAUCCCUAGGGGGUCUUCAUAAGUGAGAAAGAUAAGAGCUUUGUGAAUGCAGUGAUUCUUCCCCAUGUUGGCAUAUUGGUCCUCUGGGCACAGGAUACACAUCUCCACAUCUAAUGGAAUAAUUAAGGGAAAUCUUGGCAUUACAAUGAAUCUUGUGAUGGGUGUCCAUAUGCUGCAUUGGAAUUUUGCUGAUUUCUCCAUGCUGAAUUUGCAUCCUUUGUUUCAUGAUUAGUGAAGUGGAUCUUGCUCAAAGAGGAACCCAGCUGAAAGACAGGCAACAUACUAUAGAGUAUAUGUUCUUGCUUAAGGCCCUUUUGUUGGUAGAAUCAAGAAGAUACAGCCUGUUUCUGAGUUUCCAUCCUUGUCUCUAUUCUGCUUUAUUCUCCAAGAGCAGGUGGGAUAAUUGAAACCAGCCACAUGAAGUGGAAUGUUCAAGAGCAAGAAGAAUAAAAUCAAAGUGAAC